rnacentral:rRNA from 1 species
AUUGAACGCUGGCGGCAGGCCUAACACAUGCAAGUCGAGCGGAUGAAGGGAGCUUGCUCCUGGAUUCAGCGGCGGACGGGUGAGUAAUGCCUAGGAAUCUGUCUGGUAGUGGGGGAUAACGUCCGGAAACGGGCGCUAAUACCGCAUACGUCCUGAGGGAGAAAGUGGGGGAUCUUCGGACCUCACGCUAUCAGAUGAGCCUAGGUCGGAUUAGCUAGUUGGUGGGGUAAAGGCCUACCAAGGCGACGAUCCGUAACUGGUCUGAGAGGAUGAUCAGUCACACUGGAACUGAGACACGGUCCAGACUCCUACGGGAGGCAGCAGUGGGGAAUAUUGGACAAUGGGCGAAAGCCUGAUCCAGCCAUGCCGCGUGUGUGAAGAAGGUCUUCGGAUUGUAAAGCACUUUAAGUUGGGAGGAAGGGCAGUAAGUUAAUACCUUGCUAUUUUGACGUUACCAACAGAAUAAGCACCGGCUAACUUCGUG